AAGCAGGUCAUAGUGAUCCGGUGGUUCUGAAUGGAAGGGCCAUCGCUCAACGGAUAAAAGGUACUCCGGGGAUAACAGGCUGAUACCGCCCAAGAGUUCAUAUCGACGGCGGUGUUUGGCACCUCGAUGUCGGCUCAUCACAUCCUGGGGCUGAAGUAGGUCCCAAGGGUAUGGCUGUUCGCCAUUUAAAGUGGUACGCGAGCUGGGUUUAGAACGUCGUGAGACAGUUCGGUCCCUAUCUGCCGUGGGCGCUGGAGAACUGAGGGGGGCUGCUCCUAGUACGAGAGGACCGGAGUGGACGCAUCACUGGUGUUCGGGUUGUCAUGCCAAUGGCACUGCCCGGUAGCUAAAUGCGGAAGAGAUAAGUGCUGAAAGCAUCUAAGCACGAAACUUGCCCCGAGAUGAGUUCUCCCUGACUCCUUGAGAGUCCUGAAGGAACGUUGAAGACGACGACGUUGAUAGGCCGGGUGUGUAAGCGCAGCGAUGCGUUGAGCUAACCGGUACUAAUGAACCGUGAGGCUUAACCUU
rnacentral:rRNA from 1 species